CUACCCUUAUAUAAUAGUACAUAAUCCCUAAAAUGAGGGAAGACACCUAAAUAACCUUGAGAUCCGUCGUUUCUCAAAAAGAUCAAAAGAAAAAUCUACCAAAAACGUUACAAAAAAAAAAAAAAAAACGACCUGACUUCACCUUUUCAAUAGACCCCUUCCCAUAGUUUUGGCUUCUUCUUCAGCGAAUAAACCUAAGACCUCAUCCCCUGUAUUUUGGAUAUUCUUCAUUCCCUUUUCCAAAAAACCAAAAAAUGUUGAAGAUGCCUAAUCCCUAAGCCAGCAUCUUCUUUUUCAAGAAUAAAAAAAAUGCCGCAGCCAAACGGACGACCCCACACUCUGUCACCGAUCGUCUUUUCCAUUUCCCCACCCCAAACGACCCUUCUCCCUUCAGCUCUGAAAACGAGCAACCAAAAAGAUCCGAGGUUGUGUUUGAUUCGAGGCUCCGAGGUUGACGACGUUGGUUUCGUAUUCCAUUCACUUCAUAGACGAUUUGCUGGAACCAAGUUCUUAUUUAAUACAAAGGAAUCAGUUAUUUGAGGUCCAUUCUUUCUCCCUUGUUCUUCCCUUUUUCGAUUUGUGCUCGUAUAAAUGGCAUGGAUUGAUAAAUUUGGGACUGAAAUGUGUAAACGUACACUUUGAGUUGUCUGCUGGAAUUUUUGGUUUCUUAUGUCAUACAGAAUGUAGUUUCUUUGUAUAAAUUUGUGGUGUGAUCUAUUAUGUGCUUGUUAAUUAUUUUGGUUGAUAACUCUUAAUUAUGGAGAUAUGUUUUGGGGUGACAAUUUUACAGCCUCUGUCCAUUUAAACUUUCAAAUACACACUGCUUGAUUAGCUCAUGUAAAGCUCAUGAAAUUUGUUUUCAAAUUGCUGAAAGUCAUCAUUUGGUUUCUAUAUUUAAAAAUGAGAGUUCAUAUGAGCUAAUCUGAAAAUAUGCAAAAACGAGAAGUUUUAGGAAAUGGUUGAUAAAGUUAGUUUGCUGAAUGAUUGUGUAGUAUACUAGCAAGAUUUUCGAUUCUGUCAGAUAUCAUUUCAAUAUUAGAAUUUGAGAAGCAUGGGCGUUGUUGUCUAUAACAAAUGCUUUUGCCUUAUUUUUUGUUUAUUUUUAAAAUAAAUAAAAGAUUGUUGUGUAAAUGAUUCUAAUAAUUCCAAUAGUUUAUGGCCCUCAAAGUUUAGUUCGAACAUCCCUUAAAAUUAGAAUCGAGGUGUGCCAUAGUGCAAAAUUAGAUAAUCCAUGGCCCUCAGAUAAUUAAUAUGAACUAUUUAAAUCGGGGUGUGCCAUCAAUUGAAUUUUUCAUGGCUCUCGCAAACUUGAAAGUGCGUAGUUGCUUAAUGCAUGCUAUUUAAAUUAAUUUCCUUAAACUCGGGUGUGCAUUUCAUGUGACCCAACUCCAAUUCUCAACAACGUUAAAUAAAAUGUGUCAUGGAUCACGAGUGCAUUUCAUGUGGCGUGGAUCAAGGCUUAUUUUAAAUAACGUUGAAUCUUCCUAAAAAAUAAUAAAUAAAAGCGGUUUUAAAGUUAAAAAUGCACAUAGGUUUAAAAGUGUUUUAAAAUCAGAUAAUUAGGCCAAUAAUAACAGUUGAGUGACCGUGCUAGAACCACGGAACCUGGGAAUGCCUAACACCUUUUUCCGGGUUAACAAAAUUCCUUGCCCAGAUUCUGUGUUCGCGGACCAUAAUUAGAGUCAAAUUUUCCUCGAUUCGGGAUUCUAAACCGGUGAUGUUGCUUUUUCCGUUGUAAUAUUGUUGAACUGUAUAUAAAUUGUUACGAAAUUCUUCUUCUCUCUGAGUCUUCUAGUCAUCUGGGAAGUGAGCAUUUCGUGUGACUUAUUUUCUGUUAGAGUCAUAUCCCAAUUUUAGAACGAGGUUCGGACAAGUUGCAAAGUCAGUGAAGCUUCUGUAUUCCCGGUACGCUGCCCCCCAUCGGCUCGAGCUGUCCGCUCGGGUAAGUCAGGUCUAAAACAAAUAAACCCAGGUUUUCAAGCCUAGUAUAACAUAGCCUCAUGCCGGAUCCCUAGUAGGAACAUUUGUUGCAUCACAUGCAUUUGAUUUACGGGACUCAACACAGGGGUUGAGUCCGUCUAGGAUAGGUGUACCCAAAAUAACAGAUCAUCUUGACGCAUCCUAUGUGCUAUAUGUUGCAUUCCUUCAAGGGUAAAAGAGUCAUUUGGCGGACCAAUGAUAGUUGAAGGCAAAUGAAAAAAGAAAAACAAUGAGAAAGAAAAGAGGGUGAAGUGUGAAAAUAAAGCAAGUAGGGUCUAGUUAUGUUUUUCUUUUACAUUUUUUUAUGAAAAAAACAAAAAAAUGAACAUGGAAAAAAAAUCCAAAACGAUUUUGCAUUUUCCCUUUUAUUUUUUCAAAAAAAAAAGACAAAAUUAUGUUUCUUUUAAUUAGUUAUUUUUUUAUUAUUUCUCGACCGUAUCUCAUAUGCCUGAACUACGCAUACCUGAUUCUAGUCUUUCGAGGCGUGAUAUGUAGGCAACCCACAUAGGAUCCGGUCUUCCUAGUGAAUCUUAGGUUCUUGGCUUCGCGGGGUCUUAGCCAAAUUUUGUACUUCUAACCACCUUUUGGCCACAUAAGCCGUUUUGCAAAAUAGCCUCAAUCAUGUCUUGCAUGCGUCUAGUAGGGAAUGUUAUUGUCUCACAUAGUGUUGGUCUUAAUUUUCUCAUAUAGGUAUAGAUUUACUUACCGGAGUUUGAGCAUGACAGAGCCCCAGGACCAUUUAGUCAGGAUCGCUCAUUUAGGAGUGGAUUAAAAGGAGAUUUUCUUUUCUUGUUUAUGUUUUGAGUCUGUUUUCCUUUUUAUGUCGUCUUUUUCCUUCUAGUUUGGUAUAGUAAUGUCGAGUUUUUUUUUACUAUUAUUGUACUUUCUAUUUUGCAUUUGAAAAAUUGUGUUAUAAAUCAAAAAUCCAAAAAAAAAGAAGAGAUGUUGCAUUUUAUAUUUCUGUUAGAAGUUUUUUUUAGAGUCCUAAUUCUAGGAAUAGGAAAAAAAAUCAUUUGAGGUGGUUAGAAAUUUUAAAAAAUUAUUUUUAUAUUUCCUUUAGUACAUUAAGACUAAAAAUUCAAAAAAAAAAGAAUUUUCUUUUAGUACCUCUUUAAAAGUUUUCUUAGAUUUUAGUUCCAAAAAUCUAAAAAAAAAAAGAUUUUUUUUGAGGUUCUUCUUUGGUAAAUUAACAAAAAAUGAAAAAAAUAUUUUUUUAUUUCUACUAGAAUUUUAGGAUAUUGGACAUAGAAGAAGAAAAAAUGUACUUUAUCUUUGGUUUAUUUUCAGAGUUUCUCCCUUAGGUAAUCAAAUUAAAAUCCAAAAAUAUUUUUUUUUAUGUUUUUCAUUUCUUGGUUUGAAAUCUUUAUUUCAGGAUAUCAAACGAAAAUUCAAAAUAUUUUUCUUUGGUUCAUCCUUUAGAUUUCCUUUCUAAAAAAAAAGAGAAUCGGAAAAUAUUUUUCUCUUAUAAGGGUUUUUUCUUAAUAAUUUCUCAUCGGAGUAUUCAUUAAGGUAAAAAAAAAGAGAACAUUAGUUUGUUUACUUUAUUACUGAUCUUCACCGAACUACGCAAAGAUCUUAUUCAUGCGACGUCAUGAUACGUAGGCAACCUACAUAGGGUUCGAUCGAAUCAUUUUUUUAUUUAUUAAAAGAAAAAAAAGAAGGGGAAAAAAAAGAAAAGAAAAAAAGGGUGAAAUUAUGGGAUAUGAGAAAUGAGGGGAAAUAAAAGAGUGAUAAUUAGAAAAAAAAGGAAGAACAAUAAGCAAGCAAGUGCCAGAAAAGAAAAGAAAAGAGAAGAUUGAAAUGAACAAAUUGGGAUGACGCCAACUGACCUUCGUACCUUCGAAGUCAUUUUAGAGUCGAUAACUGUGGCUAGGUACAUUGCACAUAAAGUGAGAUUAUCUUAAGUUAAAUGCCCUAACGCUAACGUGAUGGCCUCAUUUUGUUAUAUUCACAGCAGAAGGGUGGUUGGUUUGUGGUUUUUAAAGUGGUAACUCCUCUCUACAACAUAAAGUCAAAAGGCAAUGGUAGACAACAACAAAAUUGAGAUGGUUGAUAUCGGUGCCCGAAAGUAGUUGGUUGAACAAGACACUGGGUUGGCUGAUGAGGUAAGGAUGUUAAGACAACACAUGACAGACAUGUAUCAUGCUUGGAUGAUUGGGAAAGUACCACCCCCGCCACCACCUAGCUUCCUAAAUGCUAUCCUUACCCAAAUUUCGGUCAUAGUGUCAGAUGAUUCCCCAUGCUCUUUAGAUUUUGCCGCUUAUCACAGCUUUCCCAACUACCCUAGUAGCUCCAUCACUCGUCCUCCAAUUACCUUUCCCCAAAAUUAUCCUCCUGUCAUAUCCAUUAUCCCCAACAAUGAAUACUCACUCAAAGCUCAUGGUGCCAAGUAUUACCCCUCAGAGGUUGACCACAAGGUUCUUGACUCAUACAAGCAGAGCCAUCGGAAUGACCCUCAUGCUGAAAAUGAAAAGGACACGGGAAAAGAAGGGCGAGAUGAAAUAUCCAGGAAGCUGAAAGGUAUAGAAUAGUCCUUAAGGAGCAUGCAAGGGAUGGGAAAUCAGAUUCAUAUGUUCCUUGAUGUUCAUCUGUCUGGGCGGUUUAAAGUGCCAAAGUUCAAUUGUAUGAGGGGCGUGGAGAUCCGGUAGCCCAUUAGAGGGGUUAUUGUAGGGAAAUGAGAAGUGUUGGCGAGAAAGAUGAUUUGUUUAUGGCGUAUUUCAGUGAGAGCUUGACUGGGACAGCUUUGGAAUGGCAUAAUCGCCAAGAUAUCGGUAAGUGGCAUACAUUGGGCGACAUGGCUUAGAAUUUUGUUCGACACUUUCAAUACAAAUUAGACAUUACCCCAGACCGAUCCUCCCUAUCUAAGAUGGAAAGAAACCGGAGGAAAGCUUUAGGGAGUUUGGGCUCAGAUGGAGGGAGCAAGCUACUCGAGUCAGUCCCCCGAUUGGUGAAGAAGAAAUGGUUGAGUUGUUCCUACAAGCCCAGGGGCCCACCUACUUCAGUUAUUUGAUUCCGACCUUGGGUAAACCUUUCAAUGAUGUAGUAAAAAUGGGGGAGAUGGUAGAAGAGGGAAUCAAAUCAGGCAAAAUCAUGAGUUAUUCGGCAUUGAAAGAUACUACGGAAGACAUUCACAACAUCCCAGUAAGUUUGGGUGGAAGAAAGAGAAAUAGAAAAGAUGAUCCGCUGGGCAUUCCUGCUCAACACUUUCAACCUCGAUAUCGACCCCAUGGAUAUCCUUGUGCACCAAAUGAUCCUCCCCAAUGCUACUUCUCUCCACAUAAACCCCAAAGUCAUACAUCACUUUCCCAGUAUUCUAUCCAUAAUGCACCACCAUAUGUUCCACACCCGCGAGGCCCGCGAUGGCCCAAACCACUUCCCCAAAUGUCUUACCCACCUCCUCAAGCAUAUCAGACACUUGCCCGCAAAAGGUUCCAACCGAGGCCAGACUACAAACUGAAAAGACUACUGAAAAAAGAAAAGGUUUUCACCCUUAUUGGAGAAUCAUAUGCCAGCUUGUUCCAAAGGUUGAGGCAAUUGGACAUGUUAAAGCCGGUUCGGAUAAAAAUGUCAAACCCUAUUCCAAAAAAGUUUGAUUUUUCUCAAAGGUGCACAUAUUGCUCCAAUACCCCGGGUCACAAUACAGAAAAGUGUUGGCACCUGAAAAAUGCAAUUCAGAAGCUUAUUGAUGCAUGUGACAUUAUCGUGCAAAAUCCAGAUGCAGUAGACACUAGCCAAAGUCCAUCGCCUGUUCAUAAUGAGACGUAUAUGGUGGGUAUGAUUUGUUUUGAAAAGGAAUAUGAGAAUUCUUCCAAGAUCCUCGGAGGUCCACGUGCUGCGAAGCUUUCAGCGCUAUCAGAGUUUGAUCUUAAGAAUGAACCGUCAAAAGAGACCCAAAUGCAAUUUGCUAAAGUCAAUGUGAUGGAGACUUGUGAAGGUCCUAUUAAUUUUGAUGCGAAACUCAGUGGCUAAGAUGUCGUGUUUAGUAAUUGGAAAGACGCUCAAUUCUUGGUUGGCCCAGGGAGGAGUUGUGGUGGUUUAUUUUGUUUUCAUUUUUGUUGUCCGAGUUAUUUUCAAGGUUGUAAUUCGGAUAUUGUCUUGUGAUUCAAACCUUUCUAUCCUUUUAUUUUGCCUAAUUUUGUUUAGUCGUAGUAGCUCGUUUAGUGUAGUGUGGUUUUGUUCCAGGGUUGUACCCCAGUUUAUUUUGUUUAUCUUGUUAUCCAAACCCUUUUCACCGUCUGUCUAAUGCAAUUUCCUGUUUUUUGUUAUUUCUGGCCAUUUUUUUUAUUAGUUCUCUUCUCUUUUAUAGUUUUUCUUCUCAUGCUAGCUCUAAUGACAUGACAUGCACGCAUAAUUCUAGGCCUAGUUUUAAAGUUAGUUUAAUCAUGAAGUAAUAAAGCAAUUUUGAAGAUGAUAGGGACAUUUGAGGGAAGUAAGUAAAGAGAUUCUGAGUCGCAUAAAGCCUGAAUUGUGUGAAACUGGGCCAGAUAAUUUGGUAAGGUGAUGGGUGACAAGAAUUCGUUAAAGGAGAGUGCAUCCCGGACAAUUUGAAGCAAGUAACUUUGAGGUCAAGUGCAUCUUAAGUUACAAGAUUAAGUCAGGGAAGUUUUCUCCGAAUUGAUGGAGGAUAUCCAUUGUGAAGAGGGGAUCACCCAACGAGGGUUCUGUACUUGACAAGGUGAUAAAGAAAAGUGGAAGGCAUACCAAUGAUAUCAAUGCCGAAGCUGCAAAAGAAAUAUUGUGCAUGAUCUUCAAUUUUUAUCCUCAGGUUGCAUGUGUCAUACUUGGUGUUCUUAGAGAUUGGGAGACCCUUUUUCAGCUACCCAAACACUUAUACCAUUCGAUACCCUUUUGAGCCUGUACUGAUUUCUUUGACCUCCCCUCUUUUGGAAUCAAGAUAGAGUCAUAUGAAAAAAAAAGUUUAUGCCCCCAUAGGUUUAUUUUAAGAGGUUCAUUCCAAAAAGAAAAUUCAAAAAAAAAGAAGGAAAAAGAGAAAAAUAGAGAUAUAAAGAGAAAAAGAAAAAAAGAAAAAAAGGGAAAAGGAAGAAAAAAGAGAAAAGGAAAAUAGUAACAAAAAGUAGUCUUGUGAACUACGUUUGACCUGAUUCUUGUCACCACUAGGCAGCCUUACGGUUUGGUCAUACCAAAUAAAAUAUUUCAUAAUCCCACAAAGUCGAGAGUAGGAAAUUUCAUCUAAAAAAAAGAGAAGAAAUCAAAUUCCCUUAUUUUAGAAAUUGAGACAAAGUUUUUAGAAUGGAUUCCAAAAGUUGUAAAUAAAUUAACCCCGCUGUCUUAGUUAUUUUGAGCCUUUAUGAUAUCCUUUCUUUCUAACCCUAUCCAAAAGCCACAUUACAGUCCAAAAAGACCUCCCAGAUAAUCUUUGAGAGUGUCGAGCUUGACGUGCCAGGAUUAUAUGAUGUUUUACUAUGGUCAAUGCCUUGUCAUCUACAUAAUCUGAUGGAAUAAGAAGAAAAGAAUAAAAUGAGAGUCUUACUGGUGAAAACCUUCGCGGGCACUAUAAGGUGAUGGUGAGGUAAGAGAAAGAACAAAAUGGUAGAGGCUUGAUGGCGAAAACCCUUUCGGACGCUAUAAGUCAAAUAAGGAUCGUGAAUCAUAUUGGAUAAUCGGAGCAUUGAAGCCUAGUUUCAUGGUUUAGGGGUAUAACAAGAGUUGAACAUCAUACUUGCUUGACAGAUUAGGCCAAUAAAUCCAAAGGUGCAUGUCAUGAUCAUUAGAGUUGGUAUCCACAUCUGAUAAGUUUCUACUUUGUAGUUUUCUUGUUAGGAAUCAUCUUUUGUCCUUUACUCUAUUCUUUUUGUCUUGUUUACUUCCUCUUCCCGAGUCUGUUUGGUCGGAACAAGUGAUAAAUGACUUCAAAAUUUGCCACCAGCUUUCCAAUCGCACAAAACGGGAUCUGGCUGGCGCAUUAAAGUGGCAUUANNNNNNNNNNNNNNNNNNNNNNNNNNNNNNNNNNNNNNNNNNNNNNNNNNNNNNNNNNNNNNNNNNNNNNNNNNNNNNNNNNNNNNNNNNNNNNNNNNNNNNNNNNNNNNNNNNNNNNNNNNNNNNNNNNNNNNNNNNNNNNNNNNNNNNNNNNNNNNNNNNNNNNNNNNNNNNNNNNNNNNNNNNNNNNNNNNNNNNNNNNNNNNNNNNNNNNNNNNNNNNNNNNNNNNNNNNNNNNNNNNNNNNNNNNNNNNNNNNNNNNNNNNNNNNNNNNNNNNNNNNNNNNNNNNNNNNNNNNNNNNNNNNNNNNNNNNNNNNNNNNNNNNNNNNNNNNNNNNNNNNNNNNNNNNNNNNNNNNNNNNNNNNNNNNNNNNNNNNNNNNNNNNNNNNNNNNNNNNNNNNNNNNNNNNNNNNNNNNNNNNNNNNNNNNNNNNNNNNNNNNNNNNNNNNNNNNNNNNNNNNNNNNNNNNNNNNNNNNNNNNNNNNNNNNNNNNNNNNNNNNNNNNNNNNNNNNNNCUUGGGUUUGAAUGAAUCAGAGGUAUUUUCUGUGAUAAAGUUGAUCGAGAAAGUGGUUAACCAAUAACAAGCAAGGUCUUCCAAGUGGAAAUCAAAGCUAUCAUGGUAGGUGAAUGAGCGAUAUACCUCAAGGCCAAGGCCAAGAAAGAACAGCAAGCGCAUCGAGUUGGUAAAAAUCAACAUGCUUUGGGAUUCAUGUGAAACACAAAGGUUCCGUGAUAAAGGUGACAGAGAAAGUGGACAGUCAAUAAAUAGGCAAGGUUUUUCGAACUGAAAUUGAAGUUAUCAUGAGAGUUGAAGGAGCAAUCACCCUCAAAGUCAAGACCGCAAACCAACCACCAUAUUUUAACUCACAAGUUUUCUUUGAUUGAAACAGGGGCAGGAAAUUUUGUUUGUUCCAGAGAAACCCUCAGUGAGGAAAGUAGGUACCAGACAAGCGGUAGUGAAUUCUAGUACCUUCUUAGAUAACAAGAUUUGGUAAGUUUUGAGACCAUCGCAAAUGACAAGGUCUGACUAGAGGGCUACUUUUGGGAAGUAUAAUUUGGCAUCUAAGAUUUUCACUUUUGAGAUAAGACUUGGUUUGAAAUUUUCAGGAUAAAGGAUUUUAGUUUAGAAUUUAUUUUACUCACAGAUGCUCCCAAUAUCAAACUGGGGCAGAAAAAAUUCUUUUGUUUUGUUUAUUGCGAUGAAAUCAGGCACCCAUCUGGAGAACAAAGGGAGGACCGUAAAAGUUCAAAGGAAAACGGAUCAAGUUCGGCAAUCAGGCACCCCACCCCGGAGAGCAAGGGAAGACAAUUCAAAGGAAAAUCAAUCUCAAGAGGAAGUAGCUCAAAUUCAGCAAUCAAGAGCCCACCUGGAGAACAAAGGGAAAAUAAUUCAAGUGUCAAGGAAAAUCAGUGCAAGUGUUCAACAAUCAAGAGCACACCUGGAGAACAAAGGGAAAUCAACAAUGUUCAAAGGAGUUCAGCAAUCAGGACCCCACCUGAAGAACAAAGGGAAGCAAUUCAAGUUUCAAGAAAAAGUAGUGCAAAUGUUCAGCAAUCAGGAGCCCACCUAAAGAACAAAGGGAAAGCAGCAAGGUUCAAAGAAGUUCAUCAAUCAGGAGCCCACCUGGAGAACAAAGGGAAAGCAUCAAGGUUCAAAGGAGGUCAGCAAUUAGGGGCCCACCUGGAGAACAAAGGGAAAGCAACAAGGUUCAAAGGUGUUCAACAAUCAGGAGCUCACCUGGAGAAUAAAGGAAAAACAGCAAGGUUCAAAUGAGUUCAGCAAUCAGGAGACCACCUGAAGAAUAAAGGGAAGCAGUUCAAGUUUCGAGGAAAAGCAGCGCAAGUAUUGGUAAUCAAGAGCCCACAUGGAGAACAAAGGGAAGCAACAAUGUUCAAAGGAAGACAGAAAUCAAGAGCCCACCUAGAGAACAAAAGGAAAGCAACAAGUUUCGAAGGAAGACAGGUCGAGUAUUGGCAAUCAGGCGUCUACUUGGAGAAUAAGAGAAUUCACUUCAGAAUACAAUUCAAGUCAGCAACAAAAGAAACUCGUGGCAAGAAUGUGAGUCAACAGUCCGAGGUGAUCAACAGAAGUUAGUCACAAUAAAGAAAAAAAAGAGAAAGGCAAGAAGUUAAUCCAAAUGCAGAAGUUGAUGAAAGAUGUGGGCUGCUCAAGACAUGGCCGAGGUCACAAGCACUCCAUACCUGGUCUUGAUCCGAAAAGCUGAAGAAGGAUGAACUAGCACCUACAACUAGCAAACAUCAAGGUUCAAAUCCAAAGUCUGCAUGGAGAACCGUUCAAGACUCAAGAUCAAGCUUCAAAAGACUUAUAGAUAUGAAUCUUGUAACUCGUAGUUGGCAUGCUUAGCUAGUCUUUUUCAUUUUUUGAUUUUUGAUGUAAUAACAGGACCGCGGACCGGAACCUCGGCGGAACAACACCUCGACCGGAUUCCACCUCGGUAUACUCCAUCAUCUCACUCGCUUUUGAACUACACGUGGCCUGAUUCCUUUAUAGCCAAGGAUAUGUAGGCAGCUCAGAUACCAGAGCUCGGUCACAUUCCCCUUUUCUCUUAGUUUUGGUCUCCUUAAAUAAGGGUCGGAUUAAAAACCCUGUCUAGUCGUUCUUUGUCCGAAAACUCUUCGCGUUUCCAAUCAAAGAGGGGCACCCGUAAACAUGUGAUUUUUGACCCUCUCAAGAUUUUUUAUAUUUUAGCACGUAAAUACUUAAUUUAGGCCUAAUAUAGCUAUUUCAACUAAUUUUUACUCUUUUACUUUAUUUUAUUACAAGAAAACAAAAAUUACAAAAAAAAAAUAGUUUCAUUAAUAUUUUGUAAUCAUUUUUUAAUCUUGAAAAAUACCCAAAAAUAGUUUUGUUUUAACUGUUAGUCUUAUUUUAAUAGUUAUUUUGCUUACGUAGGAUUAAUUAAUAAAGGAGAUCGUAUUUUUAGUCUCGUUCGUGGGGAAAGAUAAAACUUGGGCUCGAGCAACCCAUUCUUAAUCCUAAUUUUGGACAUAGCCCAUAAUUCCCAAACUCAUAAUUCCUAGGCUCAAACCCCUAAACUAAUACCUACCCCUAUAUAACAAUACCUAAUAACUAAAUUGAGGGAAGACACCUAAAAAACCUUGAGAUCCACCGUUUCUCAAAAAGAUCAAAAGAAAAAUCUACCAAAAACGUUACAAAAAAAAAAGACGACCUGACUUCACCUUUUCAAUAGACCCCUUCCCAUCAUUUUGGCUUCUUCUUCAGCGAGUGGACCUAAGACCCCAUCCCCUGCAUUUUGGAUAUUUUUCAUUCCCUUUCCCAAAAAACCAAAAAAUAUUGAAGAUGCCUAAUCCCUAAGCCAGCUUCUUCUUCUUCAAGAAUAAAAAAAAACGCAGCAGCCAAACAGACAACCCCACACCCCGUCACCGGUCGUCUUCUCCAUUUCCCCACCCCAAACGACCCUUCUCCCUUCAGCUUUGAAAACGAGCGACCAAAGAUCUGAGAUUGUGUUUGAUUUGAGGCUCCGUUCGAGGUCGACGGCGUUGGUUUCGCAUUCCAUUCACUUCAUAGACGAUUUGCUGUAACCAAGUUCUCGUUUAAUACAAAAGAAUUAGUUACUUGAGGUCCAUUCUUUCUCCCCUGUUCUUCUUUUUUCCGAUUUGUGCUCGUAUAAAUGGAAUGGAUUGAUAAAUUUGGGAUUGAAAUGUGUAAACGUACACUUUGAGUUAUCUGCUGGAAUUUUUGGUUUCUUAUGUCACAGAGAAUGUAGUUGCUUUGUAUAAAUUUGUGGUGUGAUCUAUUAUGUGCUUGUUAAUUAUUUUGGUUGAUAACUCUUGAUUCUAGAGAUAUAUUUUGGGGUGACAAUUUUAUUGCCUCUGUCCAUUUAAACUUUCAAAUACACACUGCUUGAUUAGCUCAUGUAAAGCUCAUGAAAUUUCUUUCCAAAUUGCUAAAAGUCAUGAUUUGGUUUCUAUGUUUAAUAAUGAGAGUUCAUGUAAGCUAAUGUGAAAAAUAUGCAGAAACGAGAAGUUUUAAGAAAUGGUUAAUAAAGUUAGUUUGCUGAAUGAUUGUGUUGUAUACUAGCAAGAUUUUUGAUUCUGUCAAAUAUCAUCUCAAUAUUAGAAUUUGAGAAGCAUGGGCGUUGUUGUCCAUAACAGAUGCUCCUGCCUUAUUUUUUGUUUAUUUUAAAAGAAAUAAAAGAUUGUUGCGUAAAUGAUUCUGAUAAUUCCAAUAGUUUAUGGCCCUCAAAGUUUAGUUCGAACAUCCCUUAAAAUUAGAAUCGAGGUGUGCCAUAGUGCAAAAUUAGAUAACACAUGGCCCUCGGAUAAUUAAUAUGAACUAUUUAAAUCGAGGUGUGCCAUCAAUUUAAUUUUCCAUGGCUCUCGCAAACUUGAAAGUGCGUAGUUGUUUUAGGCGCACUAUUUAAAUUAAUUUCCUUAAACUCGGGUGUGCAUUUCAUGUGACCCAACUCCAAUUCUCAACAACGUUAAAUAAAAUGUGUCAUGAACCACGGGUGCAUUUCAUGUGGCGUGGUUCAAGGCGUGUUUUAAAUAACGUUGAAUCUUCCUAAAAAAUAAUAAAUAAAAGCGGUUUUAAAGUUAAAUAUGCACAUAGGUUUUAAAGUGUUUUAAAAUCAGAUAAUUAGGCCAAUAAUUACAGUUGAGCGACCGUGCUAUUACCACGGAACCUGAGAAUGCCUAACACCUUCUCCCGGGUUAACAAAAUUCCUUACCCGAAUUUCUGUGUUCGCGCACCAUGAUUAGAGUCAAAUUUUUCUUGAUUCGGGAUUCUAAAUUGGUGACUUGGGACACAAUAAAUUAUCUCAAGUGGUGACUCUGAAUUUUAAAUAAAACCAUCCCGUUUCGAUUGUCACUUAAAUUGGAAAAAACUCUCUUAUACCUUUUCGGGUGUGUAAAAAGGAGGUGUGACAGUACCAUACAAGGUAUCACAUGUCCAUGAUAGUAAGGUGUAUAAGGUGUGUUAAAAGUGAGUAGUAUUUUAAGUAAUUUGAGAUAAUUCUUAAUUAUGUGGGUGAUUGGUUAAUUAUUAAAUAAUGAGAUAUUAACCAAUUAAUUAAGAAAUUAUAUUGGAUAAAUAUUGAGGGCAUGGGGUGGCAGUCCUCCAUUCAAAUUAAAAUGACUCUUACAUUAAAUUGAAAGGUGGCAAAUUAAAGACAUGUGGUUAAGCCACCAUAUGAAGUGGGCCCACGUCCACUUAAACACAAAUUUGUGACCAUUUUAAUUUAUUUGGCAUUUUAGAUCUUGAAGAGAUUCAAAUGUAGUGCUCUUUCUAUUACAAAGUAACGUGAGUAUACCAUAGAAAGAACACAUAACAGUUUUCCACUACAAUACCAAAUAAACUGAUGGAGCACUUAGUAGGUAUUUGGUGUAUGUUACUGUUGUGAGUGAAUUUGGUUGUGCACUUUGAUCUUCCUUGUUAAUACUUCACGCAUGCCUUUCUAAUGUAAAGAGAAGUGCAUAUAUCAAACUUUAAGAACGGAUCUUCAACAAUUCAAACCAGAUUUCAUAAUCAACAUAAGAUUUUGCAAUUAUAAGGAAGUACGGUGCAAUCUUUCUCAAGGGAAUUAGUUAAGGUAUAUUAAGGUUAUCCCUUCUUUCUUUUGGCAUGAUCCAUACGAUACAGACGAAACGAGCAAAUGCACAACUUCCAUAAAUGACUAUAUUCAUAGAAAUACUAGAGAUGCUUAUGUUCUUGAUUUUUCAUGUGUCAUAUUAUUCUAUCAUCUGUUCAUGGGUCUCAAAAAUACGUAAGUUGGUAAAGUUUAUUUCAUGAUAUCAAUCAGGGGCAAAAUGGUCUUAUGACGUACCGAGAGAUUUUAUUAAUGUAUUUCAUGCAUUUAUACAUGAACAUUGACUCAUGACCAGAUGACGUUAUAUACGCGUAUAUAUAUGUAUAUGGGAUAUGGAAAAUGUUAUGGCGUUAUAUAUGCACCACCACCUGAUUAGCUGGUAUACGUUGAUGAUUUUGCCAAAGUGACCAAGAUGAUAUGAUGGGAUGCCCUUAAAGGCUUGAUGAUAUUAUGAAUACAUGUACCUAUGCAUGACGUGACAUUCAUAUGCAUAUGCAUGACACUGUAAGUAUUUCAUGAUUUACAAAGUUAUCCAGACUUAUAUGUUGAGUCUUUUACUCCAUGUUUCUCUCAUGUCUAUUGUUUACUGAGUUUCAUUCCUUACAUACUCGGUACAUUAUUUGUACUGAUGUCCCUUUUGCCUGGGGACGCUGCGUUUCAUGCCCGCAGGUCCCGAUAGACAGGUUGAGAGUCCUCCAAGUAGGCUAUCAGCUCAACGGAAGAUGUU
rnacentral:lncRNA from 1 species